CCUACGGGUGGCAGCAGUGGGGAAUAUUGCACAAUGGGGGAAACCCUGAUGCAGCGACGCCGCGUGAGCGAUGAAGUAUUUCGGUAUGUAAAGCCCUAUCAGCAGGGAAGAAAAUGACGGUACCUGUCUAAGAAGCCCCGGCUAACUACGUGCAAGCAGCCGCGGUCAUCCGUAGGGGGCCAGCGUUAUCCGGAUUUAAUGGGUGUAAAGGGAGCGUAGACGGGCCUGCAGGCCAGAUGUGAAAGCCCGGGGCUCAACCCCGGGACUGCAUUUGGAACUGGAAGUCUAGAGUGUAGGAGAGGCAGGCGGAAUGCCUAGUGUAGCGGUGAAAUGCGUAGAUAUUAGGAGGAACACCAGUGGCGAAGGCGGCCUGCUGGACGAUGACUGACGUUGAGGCUCGAAAGCGUGGGGAGCAAACAGGAUUAGAUACCCCAGUAGUC
rnacentral:rRNA from 1 species